rnacentral:tRNA from 1 species
GUGGUCGUGGUGAAAUGGGAACACGGCGGACUGUGACUCCGUCAUGAGAGGGUUCGAUCCCCUCCGGUCACCCCA